AUAACUAUAAUCUUUAAAUCAUACCAGGACUGUACAGAUCAGAAAGUAUAUCAAGCAGUGACUGAUGACUUGCCUGCAGCUUUUGUUGAUGGUACAACAAGUGGAGGUGAUGGAAACACCAAGAGCUUGCGAAUUGUGGAGAAAGUCAAUGGCAAAUACGUCGAAAUGCAUGCCAAGUACAUUGGGACCACGGUGUAUAUACGCCAGCUUGGGCACUACUUAACACUGGCCAUUCGCAUGCCUCAAGAGUUGGUCAUGGCCUAUGAAGAGAGCCAGGAUCUGCAACUGUGUGUGAAUGGCUGCCCUUCACGUGAACGUAUUGAUGAUAGUGGCCACUUACCAUUGCCUGUGAUGGGGCGGUUGCUCCCUCAGGGUGGUGCUGCUCAUCCCCAGUCAGUGUACACACUGGAAACUGCCACCACCAAAUGCCAUGAGAAGAUGCUGGUGAAGGACAUCUAUUUUUACUCAUGUGUAUUUGACCUACUCACCACUGGUGAUGCUAACUUCUCGGCUGCGGCUCACAGUGCCUUGCAGGAUGUGGAGGCACUGCACCCCAGAAAAGAGCACUGGCGUAUCUUUCCCAGCAGUGGAGGUGGUGGUGUGGGCAAGGGUAUCAAAUUCUUUGUCAGUCUUGGACUUGUAUGCUUGAUCCUACUUGCAUUUUUGUAGGGUUUUUUUGUAUAUAACAAAAUUUUGAAAUAUAUAUUGUCAUAAUAUAUUGAGUAAAGAUGAGUAUAUAUGUAUAUACCAUGUAUAUGAAUGGAUGCUUUGUCUUGGGACACCACCAGAUUGUACAUAUUGUGUUAACUGUCUCAUGUAUGUUUGAUGUAGUAUUCUUUGUAUCUAUUUGUUUUGCAGUCAGUGAAAUGUUUUAUAAUGUCCCUGCAUUGGGACCUGAUAGAAAGCACUUUAUUUUUUAUAUAUUAAAUAUUUAUGUGUGUAUCUGAGUAACUAUGUAUUAUACAUAUAAACAUGUGAAUACUAUUCAGUGCUCCCACUAAGUAUUACUUGG